rnacentral:rRNA from 1 species
AACGAACGCUGGCGGCGUGGAUAAGACAUGCAAGUCGAGCGCUGGCUGUCGGGUAGCAAUAUUCGGCAGUUGGAGCGGCGCAAGGGUGCGUAACACGUGGGCAAUCUGCCGUGAAGUUUGGGAUAAUUCCGCGAAAGCGGGACUAAUACCGGAUGUGGCAACUGGGAGGCAUCUUCUGGUUGCUAAAGUUGGGGACCGCAAGGCCUGACGCUUCACGAUGAGCCCGCGGCCUAUCAGCUAGUUGGUGAGGUAACGGCUCACCAAGGCUAAGACGGGUAGCUGGUCUGAGAGGACGACCAGCCACACUGGAACUGAGACACGGUCCAGACACCUACGGGUGGCAGCAGUCGAGAAUUUUUCACAAUGGGGGAAACCCUGAUGGAGCGACGCCGCGUGGGGGAUGAAUGGCUUCGGCCCGUAAACCCCUGUCAUUCGCGAUCAAUGCGUGUUGUUUAAGAGAUGACAUGUUGAUAGUAGCGGAAGAGGAAGGGACGGCUAACUCUGUG